rnacentral:lncRNA from 1 species
GUGUGUGUGGUGUAUCCUUAUGUCUGUCUUUAGCAGGAGAGGUGUGUGUGUUCCUUACUGUGUCUUCUAGCAGGAGAGUGUGUGUGUGUCCUUACUGUCUGUCUUCUAGAGGAGAGUGUGUGUGUCAUUUACUGUCUGUCUUCUAGCAGGGGAGUGUGUGUGUGUGUGUGUGUGUGUGUGUGUGUGUGUGUGUGUGUCCUUACUGUCUGUCUUCUAGCAGGGGAGUGUGUGUGUGUGUGAUCCUUACUGCUGUCUUCUAGCAGGGAGUGUGUGUGUCCUACUGUCUGUCUUCUAGACAGGAGAGUGUGUGUGUUCCUUACUGUGUCUUCUAGCAGGAGUGUGUGUGUCCUUAAUGUCUGUCUUCAGCAGGGGAGUGUGUGUGUGUGCGUGUCCUUACGGUUGUCUUCUAGCAGGGAUUGUGGUGUGUGUGUGUUUUGUAUCCUUACUGUCUGUCUUCUACAGGAGAGUUGUUGUGUGUGUGUGGUGUGUGUGUGUGAUCCUUACUGUCUGUCUUCUAGCAGGGGAGUGUGUGUGUGUGUGUCCUUACUGUCUGUCUUCUAGCAGGGGAGUGUGUGUGUGUCCUUACUGUUGUCUUCUAGCAGGGAGUGUGUUGUGUCUUAUGUCUGUCUUCUAGCAGGGGAGUGUGUGUGUGUGUGUGUGUGUGUGUGUUGUGUGUGUGUGUGUGUGUGUUGUGUGUCCUUACUGUCUGUCUUUAGCAGGGGAUGUGUGUGUGUGUCCUUACUGUCUGUCUUCUAGCAGGGGAGUGUGUGUGUGUGUGUGUGUGUGUGUGUGUUGUGUCCUUACCGUCGGUCCUGAUCUUCUUGCUGCCCGUGUCGGGGUGUGUGUGAGAGUGCGUGUAGCCACUCCAUCCGUCAGCGUGUGAUCUCUGAGCCUCUCCCUCCGUAGGCUGCUCCUCCUGGAUCGGACUGACGCAGCGUUUCCCCAACGACGGCCUGACGCCCACAACACACGGACCGGCCGUCACAUUUAAAACAACCUGCCUUAGAGACUCCAUGGUGACCUUGUAGAACAUCAUUAACUUCUUUUAAUAAGAGGAACAGGGACAUUUUAAUGGACGAGACGCCUUUCAACAACCCUCUUCCAUUAAAAGUCCAUCGAAUUAAGUGUGUGCGCGUGUGCGUGUGUGUGGCGUAAGGCGUGUACCUGUUGUGACCGUAGCUGUGCCAGUAGGACCAGCACCAACUGUAGAGGGGGAGGUGUAGUGCGGUUUAACCCAGCCGUCCUCGUCCCAGGACUGGGUAGAAUGCCCUGGCUCUCCCUGACCUGCUGCUGCCCUGGACAUACUCUGCAUACGUCUGGAUACGGUAGCUCUCCGCAUAGCGACUGGUGUUCAUCGCUGGACACAGGGGGAAUGGGAGUCGGGGUCAGAAUUAAUAUAAACUGUGACUCAUUUACCUGUUCAGUUGUUU